rnacentral:rRNA from 1 species
UACGUAGGGGGCUAGCGUUGUCCGGAAUCAUUGGGCGUAAAGCGCGCGUAGGCGGCCAGAUAAGUCCGGUGUGAAAGUCACAGGCUCAACCUGUGAAUGCCGCUGGAAACUGUCUGGCUUGAGUCCGGAAGGGGCGAGUGGAAUUCCUGGUGUAGCGGUGAAAUGCGCAGAUAUCAGGAGGAACACCAAUGGCGAAGGCAGCUCGCUGGAACGGUACUGACGCUGAUGCGCGAAAGCCAGGGAGCGAAGCGGG